UAAAGUCCAGUUUAUCUAUUUUUUCUUUUGUUGCUGUGCUUUUGGUGUCAUAUCCAAGAAAUCAUUGCCAAAUCCAAUGUCAUGGAUGUUUCCCCUUAUGUUUUCCCCAUAAGUUUUAGUUCUUAUAUUUAGGUCUUUGAUCCAUUUUCUGUUAUUUGUUGUUUAUGAUAUGAGGUAGGAGUCCAACUUAUUCUUUUCCAUGUAGAAAUCUAGUUUUCCCAGUGCCAUUUGUUGAAAAGAUUGAAUGGUCUUGACACCUUGUUGAAAAUCAUUUGACUAUAUAUGUGAGGGUUUCUUUCUGGGCUCUCUAUCCUAUUCUAGUGAUCUGUAAGUCUCUUCUUAUGUCACUACUACAUUGUUUUGAUUACUGUCACUUUGUAGUGGGUUUCAAAAUCUGGAAGUAUGAGUCCUCCAAUUUUGUUCUUUCUCAAGAUGUCUUUGGUUUUCAGGACAUGGGUUGUGUUUCUUUGUAUUCAUUCUGCCAAUAUCUGCCUUUAAUUGGAGAUCAAUUAAUUUAAAAUCCAUUUACAUUUAAACUACGUAAUGUAAGCGUCUGACAUGAAGUUUUUUGAUUGUACUGUAAGUGCCUGAUGUUGAGCUUUUGGUUGCUGAGGAGUCCAUUUCAAAAGACAUCCAUCUUGAAAAACACAGUGCCAGCUGUAUGACACAGCUACUAGCAAAACAACCAGAUAAGGAAUUAGGCUGCCCCCACCUAUGAGGACCCCUCUUUCAGAAACCCCUGGGUAAACUAGACUGCUUGAAUGACCAGCUUCUCCUUUCCCAUGUCCUAAUUCCAGCUCUUAUGCACUAAAUUAGCCAAUAAAGAGUAAACCUGUGAAACCUAAACACUCCACCAUUGGUCCCUAGUAAAGGCAGAGCCCCAGCUCUGUACUCUUACUCCCUAAUAAUCUGGCUAUGUGGCCUUUAGGCAUGCCAUGUAGCUUCCAGCACCUAUGAGUAAUAAAUCUUUUUCCUCAAUGGUUCCUGGUGGGGUUUUUGCUAAAGCGUAUCCUACAAUCAUAAUAAGAACCAAAGGGCUAGUCCAGCCACAAAAUGUGAGUAAUACAGGCCCAGAUGAAUGCCUCAGGCAUUCCUCACCAACAAUAUCAUUCUCAAUAGGCUGGGACCAACGCGACAAAGCAAUUCUUGUUAAUGAAGGACUUCUGCCAUUUAGCUCUUUUGCGUUUCUUAUUUGCUUUUCGUCCCUCAAUUCUUCCUUUGUAUUUAGUUGAUUCUUGUAAUAUGCCAUUUUAAUUUGCUUCUUCUUUUCCAUUCUGUAAUCUUUUAGUUUUUUUCUUAGCAUUUACCUUAAGGAUUAAAAUUAGUAUCUUAUGAUGACCUACUGUGAAUAAUACCAACUUAGUUUCAAUACUAGACAAAUGCUCCACUUGUAUACACCUCCAUCCCUCCUCUUUCAUGCUGUCAUUGUUACAAACUACAUUGUUAUACAUUGUCCAUCAACAUCAACUUAUAAUUGUUGUUUUAUGAAAAAAAAAAUAAUUGCUGUUUUAUGUCUUUGCCUUUUAAAUCAUACAGGAAAAGACAGAGUUAAGAACCAAAAGCUGAGUGAUUCUGGCUUUUAUAUUUGCUUACAUAGUUACCUUUAUGUUACUUACUUCUUCAUAAAGCUUUGAGUUACUGUCUAGUGCCUUUUAAACUUCAGCAAGAAGGACUACUUUUUUAGGGCAAUUCUAGUAGUAACAAACUCACUUAGCUUAAAUUAAUGUCUUAAUUUAUCCUUCAUUUGCAACAUAGUUUUGCCAAAUGAAGAAUUCUCAGUUGGUAGUUUUGUGUGGUAUUGUUGUUUUGCAGCAAUUAAAAUAUAUUAAUUCACUGCUUUCUGGCCUCCAAGAUUUCUGAUGAGAAACUGACAGUUUUAUUAAAGGUCCAUUGUAUGUGACACUUUACUUCUCUCUCACUGAUUUCAAGUUUGUUUUUAUCUUUUGAUAGUUGAUUAUGAUGUGUCUUUGUGUGGGUCUCUUUGAGUCGAUACUACUUGGAACCCAUUGAGCAUCAUGGAUUUGGAGACUUGUGUCUUUUGUUAAAUUUGGGAAGUCUUCAGACAUUAUUUUUUCAAAUAUUCUUUCUGCCCCUUUCUCUUUUCUUCUGCUGGGACUCUUAUACCACAUAAGUUGGCUCACUUAGUGUAUCACAAGGCCAAUUAGUCUCUGUUCACUUCAUUCUUUUUUUCUUCUAUUCCUCAGACUCCAUAAUUUCAAUUGUCUUCUCUUCAAAUUUGUUCUUUCUUCAGUUUGUUCAAAUCUGAUUUUUGAAGCCCUCUAGUAUACAUUUCAUUUCAAUUUUUAUUGUACUUUUUAGUCUUAGAAUAUCUUUUUGGUUCCUUCUUACAAUUUCUAUCUCUUUAUUGUUAUUCUCACUUUGUUCAUAUAAUGCUUUCCUGUCUUUGUGUCGAUUUCUUUGGUUCCUUUGAAUUGAAAAUACUUAUGUUUCUUUGUAUGCCUUGUAAUUUGAAAACAACACUGGAUUCUUAUAAAUGUGGUAACUCUAAAAAAUCAGAUUCCCUACCUUCCAUGAUUUCUUUUUUUAUUACUUUAUGGUGUCUCCGUGCCAGAGAUCAGUCUGAGGUAAAAGAAUUAAGGUUGUCUCAGGUCUUUCUGAGCUUUUGUAUUUCCCAAGGCUUUCUAAAUUCCCUCAUUUAUACAGUUGUUUUGAAUGUCCAAAUACCAACCAACCAAACAGAUGUGGCUACUUUAUAUCCUCUGGAAGCCACCUGAGCCAGUGAAAAUUGACACCAUAGCAACCACUCUUUGUGCCUGUAUCUCCACAUUCAGAAGCAGUAAUUCAUAAUCAGAACACUGAACUUUGAUAUUGAGGACAAAGUCUUUACUGUCCACUCUGGCAUUAGUAAGCUUUUUCAGUAACACAGGCUGCUGUCCAAACAGUUGCCUACCAUGGGGCUGGGGGUAAGGUGUACAAUACAGUGAUUCAACAGUUCUACAUAUUACUCAGUCCUCAUUGUGGUGAGGAACAAGCUGCAGUAACGGAUGCACGACAGACGACUGAGAGACACGAACACACACACAUGAUGAGCACAAAAGCUUCUCGGCAUUGAGCAUAAAGACGGUUUCCUACUUGUUUGGUUUUGGUUUUGCUUUUACCCACUGUACUUGCUCCAGACCAAAAAAGAACGAGAAAGGUGUUAGGUAAUACAGCCCUUGGAGAGCACUUCAAAGAACCUGGAGAGUAAGCUAAGACACUGAAUGAAAUAUGGUAGCUCUAUGCUACGUUGAAGAACACUGUUCUUAGGGCGUCAGCUCCAUCACCAGCUGCCAGCAAGGAGACCAUCCACCUGCAAUUCUCAGAGUCUGCCUGCUUCCAGACUUCACGCAAAAAUGAUUUGGACAGAGGAAACCUACUCUGUGAGAAUCAGUUUUCCACUAUGAAAAUAUGUAUCUGGAAGAUUCUCCUGUACACACAUCUGGUCAUCUCCUUUACAAAAUAUAUAUUUUGUUUAAAAGUGAACAUACGGAACAAGACAACAGGGGACACAAAAGGUGACAAAUGUGUCAUCGAGAGUGAAAAAUGUGACUAAGAUACAUUUUCUCAAAAUGUAAAGAUGCCAAGUGGAAGAAAAUGAAAGUACAUCCAAGACAUGUAGUUACCUGAAACAGUUUCAUUUUAAGGGCAUGGCUUGAAUUGAACCUUCUCACAAAUAUUAAAUUCAUUUUUCAAAUGGA